rnacentral:rRNA from 1 species
ACUCCUACGGGAGGCAGCAGUGGGGAAUAUCUGCAGCAAUGGGGAACCCUGAUGCAGCCAUGCCGCGUGUGUGAAGAAGGCCUUCGGGUUGUAAAGCACUUUCAGUAGGGAGGAAGGUAGUGUAGUUAACACCUGCAUUAUUUGACGUUACCUACAGAAGAAGCACCGGCUAACUCCGUGCCAGCAGCCGCGGUAAUACGGAGGGUGCGAGCGUUAAUCGGAAUUACUGGGCGUAAAGCGCAUGCAGGCGGCCUGUUAAGUCAGAUGUGAAAGCCUGGGGCUUAACCUCGGAAUUGCAUUUGAAACUGGCAGGCUAGAGUCUUGUAGAGGGGGUAGAAUUUCAGGUGUAGCGGUGAAAUGCGUAGAGAUCUGAAGGAAUACCAGUGGCGAAGGCGGCCCCCUGGACAAAGACUGACGCUCAGAUGCGAAAGCGUGGGGAGCAAACAGGAUUAGAUACCCUGGUAGGAUAGCG